GUUGCAGGGUAUAGACCCGAAACCCGGUGAUCUAGCCAUGGGCAGGUUGAAGGUUGGGUAACACUAACUGGAGGACCGAACCGACUAAUGUUGAAAAAUUAGCGGAUGACCUGUGGCUGGGGGUGAAAGGCCAAUCAAACCGGGAGAUAGCUGGUUCUCCCCGAAAGCUAUUUAGGUAGCGCCUCGUGAAUUCAUCUCCGGGGGUAGAGCACUGUUUCGGCUAGGGGGCCAUCCCGGCUUACCAACCCGAUGCAAACUGCGAAUACCGGAGAAUGUUAUCACGGGAGACACACGGCGGGUGCUAACGUCCGUCGUGAAGAGGGAAACAACCCAGACCGCCAGCUAAGGUCCCAAAGUCAUGGUUAAGUGGGAAACGAUGUGGGAAGGCCCAGACAGCCAGGAUGUUGGCUUAGAAGCAGCCAUCAUUUAAAGAAAGCGUAAUAGCUCACUGGUCGAGUCGGCCUGCGCGGAAGAUGUAACGGGGCUAAACCAUGCACCGAAGCUGCGGCAGCGACGCUGAUGCGUUGUUGGGUAGGGGAGCGUUCUGUAAGCCUGUGAAGGUGGCCUGUGAGGGUUGCUGGAGGUAUCAGAAGUGCGAAUGCUGACAUAAGUAACGAUAAAGCGGGUGAAAAGCCCGCUCGCCGGAAGACCAAGGGUUCCUGUCCAACGUUAAUCGGGGCAGGGUGAGUCGACCCCUAAGGCGAGGCCGAAAGGCGUAGUCGAUGGGAAACGGGUUAAUAUUCCCGUACUUGGUGUUACUGCGAAGGGGGGACGGAGAAGGCUAUGUUGGCCGGGCGACGGUU
rnacentral:rRNA from 1 species